AGGCGAACCGGGAGAACUGAAACAUCUAAGUACCCCGAGGAAAAGAAAUCAACCGAGAUUCUGUGAGUAGCGGCGAGCGAAAGCGGAAGAGCCAGUAAGUUUUAGCUAGCAUAUUAGAGGAAUUGGCUGGGAAGCCAAAUCAAAGAGGGUGAUAAUCCCGUACUCGAAAGUAUGUUAGUGGAACUAAGCUUACGAUAAGUAAGGCGGGACACGAGAAAUCCUGUUUGAAGAUGGGGGGACCAUCCUCCAAGGCUAAAUACUCCUGAUUGACCGAUAGUGAACCAGUACUGUGAAGGAAAGGCGAAAAGAACCCCGGUGAGGGGAGUGAAAUAGAACCUGAAACCCUGUACGUACAAGCAGUAGGAGCGAGGGCAACCUUGUGACUGCGUACCUUUUGUAUAAUGGGUCAGCGACUUAUAUUUUGUAGCGAGGUUAACUGAAUAAGGGAGCCGAAGGGAAACCGAGUCUUAACUGGGCGUUGAGUUGCAAGGUAUAGACCCGAAACCCGGUGAUCUAGCCAUGGGCAGGUUGAAGGUUGGGUAACACUAACUGGAGGACCGAACCGACUAAUGUUGAAAAAUUAGCGGAUGACUUGUGGCUGGGGGUGAAAGGCCAAUCAAACCGGGAGAUAGCUGGUUCUCCCCGAAAUCUAUUUAGGUAGAGCCUUGAGCGGACACCUUCGGGGGUAGAGCACUGUUUCGGCUAGGGGUCCAUCCCGGAUUACCAACCCGAUGCAAACUGCGAAUACCGAAGAGUGAUACUCAGGAGACACACGGCGGGUGCUAACGUUCGUCGUGGAGAGGGAAACAACCCAGACCGCCAGCUAAGGUCCCGAAGUCUAUAUUAAGUGGGAAACGAAGUGGGAAGGCUUAGACAGCUAGGAUGUUGGCUUAGAAGCAGCCAUCAUUUAAAGAAAGCGUAAUAGCUCACUAGUCGAGUCGGCCUGCGCGGAAGAUGUAACGGGGCUCAAAUAUAGCACCGAAGCUGCGGCAUCAGAAUUUAUUCUGUUGGGUAGGGGAGCGUUGUGUAAGCGGAUGAAGGUGGCUCGAGAGGGUUGCUGGACGUAUCACAAGUGCGAAUGCUGACAUAAGUAACGAUAAAACGAGUGAAAAACUCGUUCGCCGGAAGACCAAGGGUUCCUGUCCAACGUUAAUCGGGGCAGGGUGAGUCGGCCCCUAAGGCGAGGCUGAAAAGCGUAGUCGAUGGGAAACGGGUUAAUAUUCCCGUACUUGG
rnacentral:rRNA from 1 species